rnacentral:rRNA from 1 species
CACGCCGUAAACGAUGAAUACUAGGUGUAGGGGGUAUCGACCCCUUCUGUGCCGCAGUUAACACAAUAAGUAUUCCACCUGGGGAGUACGACCGCAAGGUUGAAACUCAAAGGAAUUGACGGGGGCCCGCACAAGCAGUGGAGUAUGUGGUUUAAUUCGACGCAACGCGAAGAACCUUACCAGGGCUUGACAUCCUCUGACCGCAGCAGAGAUGCUGUUUUCCCUUCGGGGACAGAGAGACAGGUGG